AAUAGAUACCCGGUAGUCCACGCCGUAAACGAUGGAUGCUAGUUUUUACCCAUAUCGACCUGGGUAGAAACGAAGUUAACGCGUUAAGCAUCCCGCCUGGGGAGUACGAGCGCAAGCUUAAAACUCAAAGGAAUUGACGGGGACCCGCACAAGCGGUGGAGCGUGUUGUUUAAUUCGAAGAUAAGCGAAGAACCUUACCAAGGCUUGACUUCCUGCGAAGGUUUCCGAAAGGAAAUUGUGCCUUUUAGGAGCGCAGUGACAGGUGCUGCAUGGCCGUCGUCAGCUCGUGUCGUGAGAUGCAUGGUUAAGUCCAUUAACGAGCGCAACCCUUAUGAUUAGUUGGAUUUUUCUAAUCAGACUGCCCUGGCAACAGGGAGGAAGGAGGGGAUGAUGUCAGGUCAGUAUUGCCCUUACGUCUUGGGCGACAAACACGCUACAAUGGCCGGUACAAAGGGCAGCCAACUCGCGAGAGGGAGCAAACCCCAUCAAAGCUGGUCUUAGUUCGGAUUGCAGGCUGAAACUCGCCUGCAUGAAGUCGG
rnacentral:rRNA from 1 species